rnacentral:rRNA from 1 species
AGUGAACGCUGGCGGUAGGCCUAACACAUGCAAGUCGAACGGCAGCACAGUAAGAGCUUGCUCUUACGGGUGGCGAGUGGCGGACGGGUGAGGAAUACAUCGGAAUCUACUUUUUCGUGGGGGAUAACGUAGGGAAGCUUACGCUAAUACCGCAUACGACCUACGGGUGAAAGCAGGGGAUCUUCGUACCUUGCGCGAUUGAAUGAGCCGGUGUCGGAUUAGCUAGUUGGCGGGGUAAAGGCCCACCAAGGCGACGAUCCGUAGCUGGUCUGAGAGGAUGAUCAGCCACACUGGAACUGAGACACGGUCCAGACGCCUAAGGGAGGCAGCAGUGGGGAAUAUUGGACAAUGGGCGCAAGCCUGAUCCAGCCAUACCGCGUGGGUGAAGAAGGCCUUCGGGUUGUAAAGCCCUUUUGUUGGGAAAGAAAAGCAGCAGGUUAAUACCCCGCUGUUCUGACGGUACCCAAAGAAUAAGCACCGGCUAACUUCGUG